AUGUAGGGAAUUAAUGAAUUUUUCCCGAUUGCCUAUUUUACCCUUAAAAUUUUAUUAAAAGUCCACUUUUACCCAUACUAAACAAAACCCUAGCUCUUUCCGCGUUUUCCUCUCUUUCUCCAUCGACGCGGCUCUCUCUGCAGCGUUCCUCUCCCUGCAACUCGCACCACUCCAUCCCGAUUUGAAUCCGAGCACCACUCCAUCAAGGCCGAAGUUCGUCGCACGAGUGAGCGAGAUCCGAGAUCCGAGAUCUAAGCAAUCCGAGCACCACUCGGAGGUCCUCCUCUCGCGGAUCGGCGACGGAUCAGCUUCCUGCGAUGGCGACUGCGACGGCUUCGGCUCUCCGCCCGAGGUCCAAGGGAGGCUUCACGCGUGAAUCAGGCAUAACGGGGUGCUUCAUCUGGGUUCGGAGCUCUCUCCUAUCUUGCCAUGGACUCCAGUAACGGCGCGUUGGGUUCGCUCCUUUCUUGUCUUUCGUUCUUGCUCGUUCAUUUCCGUUCUUGAUGCAAUUAUGGGUGACGUCCGGUUGAAUCGAGUGCUCUGUCUUCUCUGAUUUGGGUUCCCAUUCGCUUUAAGUUUUGUGGUCGUGUGAUGAAAAAGGAGGGGCUUUAUUCUCGUAGCCGAAUUUGGUGGGAGUCUGUAAUUGAAGUUUCUAUCUUUUUUGGUUUAAUUCCGUUGUGUGUGGACUCUGCGUUCUGGGUUUUUUUCUUUACGAGCUUAGCUGCUUUUUCCGUCUAUUGGGUCUCCGUUUGUGUAUCUUUAAGGGCAAUCGUCGGUUGGUGUCUCUUAACUCUUUAUCUGCUUGAAUGAUCCGUGUUUUGUAGUGAUAAUUGAAUAGGGAUUCUCAUGUUGGGUGUUGCCCUUAAGAGUGAUUAGUCUUGAGGCAGCUGGUGCAAAGUCAGGCCACUAUGUAAAAUCGACCCCAACCAUCCGUCCUCCUUGUUUGUUUGCAGUAGUUUGUCACAUUCAUUCCCUGUUUCCACAACAAAUGGUCCACCUCCUAAGCCGUGGGAAAGAGCCGGGGGUUCAUCAGGUCCUAUGCCAUUUAAGCCGCGAUCAUCUGGAAGCACUAGUGAUAUAGUGGAAGCUUCCGGAACAGCAAGACCCGGUGAAAUUGUUUCGACUACUGAUAGAACUAUUCCUGUCAAUGCAAAUUCUAUUGCUAGGCCGGUUCCCACCAGGCCAUGGGAGCAACAAUCCUAUGGCAACAGUUAUGGAGGAUAUAGUUCAUUGAUGAGGGUUUGGGUGGUUAGAAGACUCAGAACAGCCAAAUCGACUCGAGGGGGAAUUCGAGCCUAUUUUUCUGGGAUUUUUUUCCCCUUCUUUUUCUUUAUUUUCUUUUUGUUUUAUUUUAUUCCCCCCUUGCUUCUACGUUGCUUCUUCCCUAAUCAUAACUAUGGAUUUGCUUCUUCUUUUUAAUAAUUCAAGUCUUUCUCGUUUUUAAUUAA